AGUGAACGCUGGCGGUAGGCCUAACACAUGCAAGUCGAACGGCAGCACAGUAAGAGCUUGCUCUUACGGGUGGCGAGUGGCGGACGGGUGAGGAAUACAUCGGAAUCUACUUUUUCGUGGGGGAUAACGUAGGGAAACUUACGCUAAUACCGCAUACGACCUACGGGUGAAAGCAGGGGAUCUUCGGACCUUGCGCGAUUGAAUGAGCCGAUGUCGGAUUAGCUAGUUGGCGGGGUAAAGGCCCACCAAGGCGACGAUCCGUAGCUGGUCUGAGAGGAUGAUCAGCCAAAAUGGAAAUGGGAAACGGUCCCGACUCCUAAGGGAGGCAGCAGUGGGGAAUAUUGGAACAUGGGGGGAAGCCUGAUCCAGCCAUAACGCGUGGGUGAAGAAGGCCUUCGGGUUGUAAAGCCCUUUUGUUGGGAAAGAAAAGCAGCAGGUUAAUACCCCGCUGUUCUGACGGUACCCAAAGAAUAAGCACCGGCUAACUUCGUG
rnacentral:rRNA from 1 species